rnacentral:lncRNA from 1 species
ACUAGAGAUAACCCCUUAAAUAUGGGAUAUGGACGAGUUUGGCUUUCUAAGCUUUAGCACGCUCGUAUUCCCUCUAUUAAAGGGAACAUUGAAAGUCACGAGUAUAAGUCCCCCGCACCCAUUAUGAUGCAUUUCUUUAGGCCACAUAUAUUUGCAUAAUUACUCUUAUUUUCCUUUUCUUUUUCUUUCUUUCGAGUCUCAUGACUUGCAUAUUCGUGACCUCUCUAAAAAGUCCGCAUUGGGCAUCACAAUUAAUGUGAUUGGUACUAAUUAAGCUUUGAAGAGAUAUUUCGAUCCCCGAUACCCUCUUAGGUCUAGAGUUUGCAUUCAUAUAGUAUAUCCAAAUGUGAUAAAUCUUAAGGUUAAAAUAAGAAAGUUUUUUACUAAAUCGCGCAACUAGCCUUGGUUAGGUUGAAAGAGUGCUUUGGAUUCUUAUCCUUGCCUUUCCUUUCUUCAAAUGUGACUCCUGAAUCUUUUUCUCUGAUUUUCGUAGAUUUGGAGUCGUUUAAAAAGGGUUUUCUACUUUUUUCUUUAAAAUUCAUUUUUUGGUGACUUGGUACACCUCAACUCAAUACCAAGUGGCAACUCCAUUCAAAAAAUCCUUUUUAAACUAUAUUUUGGGUCAAAUCGUUGCAUUUUCAAGUCCCAUUUAGACCCAUGUUUUUUCAUUUUUUUUAAAUAAAAAAUUCAUUUUCCAAUCAAAAGUUGAAUCAAAAGCCAUUUUUCUAAACUCGUCUUUUAUUUUUCUUAUAAAAAAAUGGGGCGCGACAGUUGGUGACUCUACUGGGGAACUUAGAGGGUCCAAGCAUUCGAUUUAGUCCACCAUUUCUUCUUUUAACCUUCUCAUAUAUCAUAUUUGGAGUAGUAGGUUGUAUUCUUCUUUUCCUUUUUCCUUUUUUCUCUUUAUUAGGAUUUUUGCAUCUAUCACGCGUGUAAUCACUCCUCGCGCACUAUGUAUGUAAUGAAUGGAUGGUUUAUUUGUAUCGCGCUUGCAUUGUUGGGUGGGGGGUAGUCACCCUAGAACCGUCGACCGCAUUUUGAUGGUAUUAUAAUCCCUCCCCUCAAAAGGAAAAUCAUUUCAUACGUGUAUGCAUAAUUUUUACCCUACCCACAUCUCCCUGUAGGAUUAGGAUCGAUUGCCUUAGGUAUGCGGAUGGUGUGCACUGCACCCAUAGCGAUGCCUAAGGGAUCACUCGAGCCACCGACCGAAGGCCCUGAGAUUGAUGACCCUUCGCCUUUAGGUCUAAAGGCUUGGGAGCCUAAAGCCUGAUCGAGUCUAGAUGCAUUAGUAAGACCCAACCUUAUGCAUCCAUGUUAGAAGUGCCUAGGAUAAAGUCAACCUACCUGACUAGGAACACUAGGCAUGAGGGGAGGGAUCCCACCCCUCUUUCCUUAUUUAUCUUUUUGCUUUUAAUCGCCCAAAGUGUUAUGUGAUUAUGUGUUGAACUAACGUUUCUUUGUUUUCUUGUCUUUUGCAUUCACAAACGUAGGAAUAAGAGAUCUGGCAUGAUCUUCUUUAUAGAACCCACCUUCUUAGAUAGGCUAUUGCACAUUUAAAGAUUCUGAUAUAUUGCAUUUGUAGGAUGAUAAUGUCAUAUCAUUUUAGGCCUACCCUGGCGUAUAAAGGGUUCCUUAGGUCAUAUUUCAUUUCAAAUUGCAUGUUUUAUCGAUUUAUUACACUGGCAUCAUGCAUCCACCUUAGAAGGAAAUGCCAUUUAAGGAAUCCCGUUAUAGGAAUAAACCGCCCCGUGUCUCGGAUAUAUAAUCCAAUGAGACUUGCACAUUUAUAUUUUUGUACUGUCCGAAGGGGUAGUGCAUGAGGUAAGGUAGGAUCCGAUCUUUUCGAAGACGGCAAAGCAAUUUUUGCACAUUAGAAUAUGAGCAUCUAACAAUCAUUUUUUGGCCAUUUUUAACAUAGCUGGUAAAAAUCCCUUGCUUAAAGGACAUUGAUUUGAAGAAAUUCACAAACGAUUCCUCAUUGUUGAGACGAUAAAUAUAGAGGCCAAAUCUUGAUUUUAGGAGGCUCAUAGACUAAUGCAUUGCAAUGAUUUUUUGAAACUACCAAUGGGUAGAUAGUUCAAUCAAUUUUUUUGAAUAAACCAUCAAUAUCAUCCAAUCCAUUUUGUCAAUUCAUUCAAUUUUCGGACAAUCUAAUCAUUUUUUAAUAAAUCAUUAACUCCAUUUCAUUCAUUUGGCCAAUUUACCCAUUUUUGGGGCAAUCGGGUCGAUUUUGAAGACAUCAUCAAUUUCAUUCAAUUCAGUUGACCAAUCUACCUAUUUUUAGUGCAAUUCGAUCGGCUUUGAAUAAAUCAUCAAUUUUACCCUAUCCAUUUGACCUGUUUUUUUUCCUUUAGGAUUUAAGUCUAAGGUUCACUGAAUAAAUUAAUCAAGACAUUGCAAUCUCUUUUAUACAUCAUUUUUAUGUGUUGAUCAAAGCAGGCAAUCCAUUUGGACUUCAUCCUCAUUUUUUAGGACAAAUGACUCUUCUCACUCCAAUUGGCCAGAUUUUUUCAAAUCAUUUUUCACUCAAUCAGUUGAUCGGAUUCAUCAGGUAUUGUAUGGUGCCUACCCUAGAGGAUUGCAUUUUCAUGCUAGGCCAACCCUUGGUAUAAAAGGGCUCCCCUGUAGGACAUGCAUGCCGAUUUUACAAUUUUACUUACUAACUCUGGAUUUUUUUUCUUUUAUUUUUUCCCCUCCCCCUGCAUUCAUAAAAGUGUUUCAAUAAGAUGAAAAUAUUUUUCUAUAUCUGAUAACAAUUUUGAUCCAAUAAGGUUUGAAAAUUACAAGAAUUACUUGAUUCUUGGGCGGACCUUGCAAUGAAAAUAUGAAGGAUUUAUUUGGAAGCGCUAGGCUAAAGCCUCUGAGAGACUUUAUAAUUGUUUUUCAAAGAAAAAUUCUGUUUAUUUGAUUUGUUAAUGCAUUUUUUCUUCCAAAGAGAAGGAGACGAAAAGUGUGUAUAUACGGAGCUCUUUAAGAGUUUUUCUCUUCUCAUUUGUAUUAUAAUUGAACGAGAAAUUUUGUUUUAAACUUUUUCAGCAAUAAGGUUUUUAGACAAUUAUUGUUUUGUAUAUAUUCAUGUACAUUUCAUUCUUUUGCUCAUUAGAGAUUUCAUGAUAAAUUUUAAGAAAUAAAACUAAAUUAAGAUUUCCUCAACCUCCAGCCUGAAAAUUUAUAAGUGUAUGCCUUCUAAAAUCCUUACGUACAUUCGAUUGGUGAUCCGAGUUAUACAAUAAGAGUGCUCAGAGUAAAAAAAAA